rnacentral:rRNA from 1 species
UACGAAGGGAGCUAGCGUUGUUCGGAAUUACUGGGCGUAAAGCGCACGUAGGCGGAUUGCUAAGUCAGGGGUGAAAUCCCGGGGCUCAACCUCGGAACUGCCUUUGAUACUGACAAUCUCGAGUCCGAUAGAGGUGGGUGGAAUUCCUAGUGUAGAGGUGAAAUUCGUAGAUAUUAGGAAGAACACCGGUGGCGAAGGCGGUUCUCUGGGCCUUACCUGACGCUGAGGAGCGAAAGCGUGGGGAGCAAACAGG